GCCGCAGGUGCGACCGUUAAUGACCGUUAAUUAGGGCCGUUAAAGACCGUUAACUGCCGGCGGCGGUCAGUAGCGCGUGGUGCUGGGGGAGUUCGCGGCGUGCUGCGCUCUGCAGAGGCAUGAGGAAGCUCUCCGUAUCAGCACAUCUGGUUGAGGACAGAACUGGGACACGCUCUGGGGACUUGUGGACAGGAGUUGUACACAGCAGCAGGAAAGUGCUGACCCAGACACAAGUGUUCUGAGGCUCCUGAGCUGCCCUAGAACAUUCCCAGCAUCAGGGGCUCACAACCAGCAAAGGAGACAACGCCCUGAGGAAAUGGCAGGAAAUAAUCAGCCUCAGACCUUAAAUCACAGAGGGUGAUGUUGAAAACCAGAUGAAACCGUGCACGAGAUCCAACAGCACACACUGCUAGCUUGGGCUGUGCACUGAGGUAUGCCAUCUUCUCCCAUUCUUGCCCAGUGGAGAUCAUUAAAGUAUGGUAAUACAGCCCUUAGAGAGGAGAACAUUGAAGAACUGAAGCUAAGGAGAGCUGUUUUAUGUACUGCAGGAUUCUCAUCCACUGAUGGCUUCCAGGGACAUAUAUCAGUUUCCAGGAGAAAUCCAUCCACUGCAGCUUCUCAUGACAAGUAAUCACAACUGAGAAAUCCUGGAAGUAAACUGCUCUUCUCCAAAUUCCUAGAACAUUACAGUUGCAACACGCUUCCACCAAAUAAAUUACUGAAAAAAAAAGAUUUUUCUCUGCAGCGUUUUGCAAUUUGUAAUUCCAGAAAGUAAGCUUUAGCUGACAGUGUAAACGUGUUAGACUAACAAAGGGAGUUGCGUCUAUUCUCUUAUUUCAGAUGAAUAAUGUAAGCACAAGAAGACAAGGUCUCGAAGGAAGACCCUGGAAAUACCUCAAACCAAGAAUACUUGAAUCCCAAUCCAGAGUCUUUAAUCACUCACUGUUUUACCUCCAUCUUAUUCUCUAGUAUCAUGUACAGAAAGAAAAGUACAGAAAUUAUUUUCAUUUCUAUUCUGCCGAUUUUCUA